AGACGAACUGUUCAAACGUUAUUCGGAAUCACUGGGCUUAAAGGGCGCGUAGGCGGUCUAGUAAGCGAGGUCUGAAAUCCCGCGGCUCAACCGCGGAACUGGGCUUCGAACUGUUAGACUAGAGUGAAGUAGGGGCAAGCGGAACUUGCGGUGGAGCGGUGAAAUGCUUUGAUAUCGCAAGGAACACCGGUGGCGAAAGCGGCUUGCUUGGCUUUAACUGACGCUCAAGCGCGAAAGCUAGGGUAGCGAACGGGAUUAGAUACCCCGGUAGUCCUAGCCGUAAACACUGAGCGCUUGUUCGAGGGAGAUUUUCUUUCUCGAGCGUAGCGAAAGUCUUAAGCGCUCCGCCUGGGGAGUAUGGUCGCAAGGCUGAAACUCAAAUGAAUUGGCGGG
rnacentral:rRNA from 1 species